rnacentral:rRNA from 1 species
CGGCGGACGGGUGAGUAAUGUCUGGGAAACUGCCUGAUGGCGGGGGAUAACUAGUGGAAACGGUAGCUAAUACCGCAUAACGUCGCAAGACCAAAGUGGGGGACCUUCGGGCCUCACGCCAUCAGAUGUGCCCAGGUGGGAUUAGCUGGUAGGUGGGGUAACGGCUCACCUAGGCGACGAUCCCUAGCUGGUCUGAGAGGAUGACCAGCCACACUGGAACUGAGACACGGUCCAGACUCCUACGGGAGGCAGCAGUGG